UACGGAGGGAGCUAGCGUUGUUCGGAAUUACUGGGCGUAAAGCGCACGUAGGCGGCUUUGUAAGUUAGAGGUGAAAGCCCAGUGCUCGACACUGGAACUGCCUUUAAGACUGCAUCGCUUGAAUCCAGGAGAGGUGAGUGGAAUUCCGAGUGUAGAGGUGAAAUUCGUAGAUAUUCGGAAGAACACCAGUGGCGAAGGCGGCUCACUGGACUGGUAUUGACGCUGAGGUGCGAAAGCGUGGGGAGCAAACAGG
rnacentral:rRNA from 1 species